rnacentral:rRNA from 1 species
GAUGAACGCUGGCGGCGUGCCUAAUACAUGCAAGUCGAGCGAACGGACGAGAAGCUUGCUUCUCUGAUGUUAGCGGCGGACGGGUGAGUAACACGUGGAUAACCUACCUAUAAGACUGGGAUAACUUCGGGAAACCGGAGCUAAUACCGGAUAAUAUUUUGAGCCGCAUGGUUCAAAAGUGAAAGACGGUCUUGCUGUCACUUAUAGAUGGAUCCGCGCUGCAUUAGCUAGUUGGUAAGGUAACGGCUUACCAAGGCAACGAUGCAUAGCCGACCUGAGAGGGUGAUCGGCCACACUGGAACUGAGACACGGUCCAGACUCCUACGGGAGGCAGCAGUAGGGAAUCUUCCGCAAUGGGCGAAAGCCUGACGGAGCAACGCCGCGUGAGUGAUGAAGGUCUUCGGAUCGUAAAACUCUGUUAUUAGGGAAGAACAUAUGUGUAAGUAACUGUGCACAUCUUGACGGUACCUAAUCAGAAAGCCACGGCUAACUACGU